AUGGCCUCGGGAGGGGGCGCGGCCUUCGAGGAGCUGCCGCACGACGGCACGUGUGACGAGUGCGAACCCGACGAGGCCCCGGGGGCCGAGGAAGUGUGCCGAGAGUGCGCCUUCUGCUACUGCCGCCGCCACGCCGAGGCGCACGGGCAGAAGUUCCCCAGCCACCACCUGACCCCGUACGUCCACGGCGCUGCCCAGGCCUGGACCGCCGGGGCCCCGGGGCGGGGCGACGCGAAGGAAGAAGCCGGGGCCAAGGUGGAGAAUGAGCGGGAUCUAGAGAGCGAGGUGGGGGAGGAGAGCGAGUCCGAGGAAGACAGUGAAUCGGAAGAAGAGAGCGAGACGGAGGAGGAGAGUGAGGAGGAGAGCGAUGAGGAGAGUGAAGAGGACAGUGAGGAGGAGAUGGAGGACGAGCAAGAGAGCGAAGCAGAGGAAGACAACCAAGAAGGAGAAUCCGAGGCGGAGGGAGAAACGGAGGCAGAAAGUGAGUUUGACCCAGAAAUAGAGAUGGAAGCGGAGAGAGUGGCCAAGAGGAAGUGUCCGGACCAUGGGCUCGAUUUGAGCACCUAUUGCCAGGAAGAUAAGCAGCUCAUCUGUGUCCUGUGCCCUGUCAUUGGGACUCACCAGGGCCACCAGCUCUCCACCCUCGACGAGGCCUUCGAAGAACUAAGAAGCAAAGACUCAGGCGGACUAAAGGCAGCUAUGAUAGAGUUGGUGGAAAGGUUGAAGUUCAAGAGCUCAGAUCCUAAGGCAGUGAAGAGCAAGAGGAUGUAUACAGAUUACACUGAGUGGCUUCUGUGCAUGAUGAUAAUACAGGUAACCCGGGACCAGAUGAAGGUGUUCAUACAGCAGGAAUUUAAGAAAGUUCAGAAAGUGAUUGCUGAUGAGGAGCAGAAGGCCCUUCAUCUGGUGGACAUCCAGGAAGCAAUGGCCACUGCUCAUGUGACUGAGAUACUGGCAGACAUCCAGUCCCACAUGGACAGGUUGAUGACUCAGAUGGCCCAAGCCAAGGAACAACUUGAUACCUCUAAUGAAUCAGCUGAGCCAAAGGCAGAGGGUGACGAGGAAGGACCCAGUGGGCAAGAAGAGCCGUAGGAUUAGCCACCAGAGUCCUUCAUCCCAGUGGGACUCCAGGCACCGUCAGCAAUCAGACUGACAUCAUAUCAGCAACAACACAAUGGCAAGUAUGUGAGCGGUGCCAGUGAAGAAGAGGACACAUGAAGGCUUGCCAUCCCCCGUGGAAACUCAUCCCUUCCCCCCCGUGUGUAUGUGAUGGCGUGUAUGUAGCAGCUUCUGAGUUCUGUGAAAGGUGCCCACCAACAACCGUACUUCCACCGGAUACAUCCCCAGGUCCACAACAGGCACAGAUCUCUCCAAGGGAUGACCGACUUUAUUGUUACUGACUAUGCUUUUCAUUCUCUCGUCAUGGUAGGUCAAGAAAAAGUGACCCUAUGAUCAACCAGGAACAGUUAAUUAAGAAGCGUCCUUCAGGUAGUCCUUCAAUGGCUGCUUUGAACUUACUCAGGAAAGCCAGCCCCCGUGAUAUUGUAUACUCAGACAGCAUCGCUUUAGCUGGAAGGUUCUGGAGUAAUCUUGAAGGGCAGUCAGAAUUUUUUUUCCUACCUGCUACUAAAACCCCACUUUAUUUAUAUUGCAGCAUGGAGCAGUGGGGAGCACAGUAGGGCUCUGUAGAUAGUCUCUAAAAGUCCAGUUAUACAUUUGUGAAAAUGUGGCUCCACGAAGUAAGAUGGGUGGCGUGAAGACAGGGUGGGAGAAGGAGUUAAAAGUUCGAAAUACAGGGAUAUUUUUAGUACAUGAGGUUAUCUGGCACUUCAGAUCCAUAAUUCAGUGCUGUGGAAAUGAAAAAAAUGAUUGAAGAGGUAGAAAGGAAAUGACUUAAAAAAAAAAAAAAAAAGGACCAAAGAGAUCUGAUUAAAAGUUGAAAUCAGUAUUUCUGAAACUCAAAUUGCCUGAAUUUCCAAAAUAGUCACUAAAGGAUCUGAUGGAACCUGAACAAUUUGGGUGAAUUCUGCCGGUUUUCUGGGUCUUGUUACAAUGUGAAGGCUGGGAUGUGUAUUACCAAGUGGGAAUUUUCAGUGUAUGUUUUUGUCACCCCCGCUCUAGCCCCCUUGGCCUCAUUUGGCUGAAAUGCAGUAUAGGGAGAGUCCUCGUCACUCUGCUCUGCUGAAUCAAGCCCUGUCUCCCAGCAGGCAUACCCACCUCUUCCUCCAGCUGGAACCCCUCUUCCCAUGGCACCCACCGCAGGCCUUCAGCCCUGCCCGCACACUCAGGCUCUCCCCUUUUAAGUACCAUGAGCAGAGACACGCCCCGGUGGGACGUGCAGCCUUUCCCCUCCCAAGUCCCAUUUCCUUACAACCAAGUUUUCUCCUCCCAAGUAAGAGUGAUUACCAGGGAAUACAAACCUGCAAGUUAAAAAGCCUGCAUUUUCUGAAAACAUCAGUUUUACUUAACUGGUUUGGAGUCAAGGGAUAACCUUAUUUUUAGAUAAAACAGCUACAUCAUGAAAUCAAGUGUUCAUACACAAAGUUGAGAGAAAACACUUCACACUUCACAGGGAAUUCGUAUUUACUGGUGGGGUGCAUGUUCCCUCUCGUCUGCCUCUAGUGGUGUUUUGGGGUUCACUUCUGAGAAGUACAGUUGGCACUUAUCCAGGCAGCUGACCGAGGGCCUGGACCUCUAGUCGCCUCUGACAUGGAAUUGAAGGCGCCUGCACUGGGAGGAGUUCCUGUCUUCCUGCCUGCCUGCGACCCCUGUACCUGUCACAGAGCGUUAGGGCCAGCUGGCAUGUGCACGCGUGGUUUUGAGGCAGAAACCGUACUUACUGCAGGAACCCUAUUUAUAUCAUAGUCCAGUCCUGGGCUAGCUAUGAAAUUAUUUCUUUGAGGCCAGGAAGCUACCGGGCAUAUGUGCUUCUGGGUUAAGAUUAUUCUAGCUCACUAAAUAUGUUAAGAUGUCAGGACUGAGAGUACUUUGGGCUGU